GGAGCUGUGGCUUAGCAGGUAAAGCUGCCACCUGCAGUGCUGGCAUCCCAUAUGGGUCCAAGUUCAAGUCCCGGCUGCUCCA
rnacentral:tRNA from 1 species